UACGUAGGGUGCAAGCGUUAAUCGGAAUUAUUGGGCGUAAAGAGCUCGUAGGCGGUUUGUCGCGUCUGCUGUGAAAUCCUCAGGCUCAACUUGGGGCGUGCAGUGGGUACGGGCAGACUAGAGUGUGGUAGGGGAGACUGGAAUUCCUGGUGUAGCGGUGAAAUGCGCAGAUAUCAGGAGGAACACCGAUGGCGAAGGCAGGUCUCUGGGCCACUACUGACGCUGAGAAGCGAAAGCAUGGGGAGCGAACAGG
rnacentral:rRNA from 1 species